rfam:Culex flavivirus strain CxFV_BR/MT_CbaAr1256p2/2013, complete genome
GCUCCCGUAAGGAAAGCGUAAGCUUUGAGCAUUGACGACGCUCCGG